rnacentral:rRNA from 1 species
UACGUAGGGGCCUAGCGUUGUCCGGAAUUAUUGGGCGUAAAGAGCGCGCAGGCGGUCGUUCAAGUCGCGUGUGAAAGCCCUGGGCUCAACCUGGGAAUUGCGAUGGAUACUGGCGAGCUAGAGUACGGUAGAGGAUGGUGGAAUUCCCGGUGUAGCGGUGAAAUGCGUAGAUAUUGGGAGGAACACCAGAUGCGAAGGCGGGUCACUGGGCUGAUACUGACGCUGAAGCGCGAAAGCCAGGGGAGCGAACGGG